GAUCCUGGCUUAGGAUGAACGCUGGCGGCGUGCUUAACACAUGCAAGUCGAACGGACUUAUGGAUUGGAGGCUUCGGCCAAAGAUCUUAAGUUAGUGGCGGACGGGUGAGUAACGCGUGGAGAACCUGCCCCAUGCAGGGGGAUAACAGUGAGAAAUCACUGCUAAUACCGCAUAAGCGCACGAGGCCGCAUGGCCCUGUGUGAAAAACUCCGGUGGCAUGGGAUGGCUCCGCGUUGGAUUAGCCAGUUGGCGGGGUAACGGCCCACCAAAGCAUCGAUCCAUAGCCGGCCUGAGAGGGUGAACGGCCGCAUUGGGACUGAGACACGGCCCAGACUCCUACGGGAGGCAGCAGUGGGGAAUAUUGCACAAUGGGGGAAACCCUGAAUGCAGCGACGCCGCGUGAAGGAAGAAGUAUCUCGGUAUGUAAACUUCUAUCGACAGGGAAGAUAAUGACGGUACCUGAAUAAGAAGCCCCGGCUAACUACGUGCCAGCCGCCGC
rnacentral:rRNA from 1 species